CGCCUCCCAGAGAUGUAAGGCAGAGAUGACUCCUUCAUCUCUCUCUCUUUUUUUCUCCCUGUGUGUGUUCACUGUUCGUGUUUCUGAGCGGUGCAGAGAUUGUCAUGGAUCAAUGGCAGGAGAAUGCGCCAUCAAAUCAGAGUAGGUGAGAGAAUUUUGGAAGGUGGAAAGAUAGAGAAGAAGUCUUCGUCGUCUUUGGAGUACGGGCGACUCAAGACUCAACUACUGACACAGUGGCGCAGAGAGAGAGCUUCUGGAAACAACAGUGGUAGAGAGAGUGUGUGUGUGUUUCAACUCGAAGACACGGUAAUCCUUUUUCGUGGGGACUGGGGAGAUGCUAAAGGUAACAGACAAGGAUAAAGAGGCUCACUUCUGGAAGGCCGGCAAAGUAGCCAUGGCUUUUAAGCCUUUUUUUAGUUUUGCCUAUGGGUUUGGAUUUCCUUGCGAUGAAGAGUUCCUCUGUAUUCCCAAUUUCAUAUUCUUCUAUAUAUGCUUUGCAAGUUGAUCAAUGUAAAACAAGUUAUUACUACUCUUGUUUGGCAAAUACAUUUUAGAAUUUAAACUAUGAUUCAAA